rnacentral:lncRNA from 10 species
AAUGACAAAGGUGCUGCACACAGGGCCAUGCCCAACCAGCAGGCUCUCAGAGGACUCUUGAGGUGGAAAUGAAAACAGGGUCCCACUCUGUGGCCUAAGCUGGAGUGCAGUGGCAGUAUCAGGGCCCGCUACAUCCUUGACCUCCUGGGCUCAAACAAUCUCUCAUCUCAGCCUCCCAAGUAGCUGGCACUAUAGGGAUGGAGGCCUCACUUUGUUGCCAGCUGGUCUCGAGCUCCUGGCUUCAGGUGAUCCUCCCAUCUCAGCCUCCCAAAAUGCUGAGAGGGCAGCUGUGAGCCACUGUGACCAGCCAGCAUGUCUUUUUUUGAUCUGCCCAGUACCAACCCUCAUUUGGGAAUCGCUCUUUCUGUUCCUUUAACCUGAUGAUUCCUGUGGGAGCAGCUGUGCUCUGACAUGGCCUGGCCCUGCCUAGGGCUGAUUAGAGAAAAACAGUACCAAUGAUCCUCUUCUCUGGGAUAUUUGAACCUGAUUCCAGGGGUGAUUAUCAAUAUCUGCAACAAUCAGGGAGAUCCGGGUACCCACCAAUUAGGACAGACAUUGGCUGAAAAACAAUUGAUAUGGGUGCAGCAGUGCACGCAGGCUGAAGAGCACCCUUGUUUGAGAAGAAGGAACAUAGGGAUUCCCUCUUUGGGGGCAGAAGUUGGAAACUGUGCAUUGGGGAGCCCUGUUUUCUUCCUGUAGACAAAUCUCAUUGUGGUGAAUAGGAAUGAGGCCAACGGCAAGAUCUGGAGAUGGAAGAAGCUCCUGAAGAUGUUGAAACCCCUGGUCCCAGCUGUUCUGUGGGCCAGCUGGAUUCCUGCCCUUCUAUAGCUGUAUUGCUCAAUCCUUUCCUGGGAUCUGGGAGAAAAUAAAUUUCAUUUUUGGCCCAA